AUUGAACGCUGGCGGCAUGCUUUACACAUGCAAGUCGAACGGUAACAGGCCUUCGGGUGCUGACGAGUGGCGAACGGGUGAGUAAUGCAUCGGAACGUGCCCAGAGGUGGGGGAUAACGCAGCGAAAGCUGUGCUAAUACCGCAUGUGAUCUGAGGAUGAAAGCGGGGGACCAGGCAGCAAUGUUUGGCCUCGCGCCUUUGGAGCGGCCGAUGUCAGAUUAGGUAGUUGGUGGGGUAAAGGCCUACCAAGCCGACGAUCUGUAGCUGGUCUGAGAGGACGACCAGCCACACUGGGACUGAGACACGGCCCAGACUCCUACGGGAGGCAGCAGUGGGGAAUUUUGGACAAAGGGCGCAAGCCUGAUCCAGCAAUGCCGCGUGCGGGAAGAAGGCCUUCGGGUUGUAAACCGCUUUUGUACGGAACGAAAAGGCUCUAGCUAAUACCUGGGGCUGAUGACGGUACCGUAAGAAUAAGCACCGGCUAACUACGUG
rnacentral:rRNA from 1 species